rnacentral:rRNA from 1 species
UACGUAGGGCGCAAGCGUUGUCCGGAAUUAUUGGGCGUAAAGAGCUCGUAGGUGGUGUGUCGCGUCUGCUGUGAAAACCCGAGGCUCAACCUCCAGCCUGCAGUGGGUACGGGCAGACUAGAGUGCGGUAGGGGAGAUUGGAAUUCCUGGUGUAGCGGUGGAAUGCGCAGAUAUCAGGAGGAACACCGAUGGCGAAGGCAGAUCUCUGGGCCGUAACUGACGCUGAGGAGCGAAAGCAUGGGGGAGCGAACAGG